rnacentral:rRNA from 1 species
GUCCACGCCCUAAACGAUGUCAACUGGUUGUUGGGGAGUGAAAUCCCUUAGUAACGAAGCUAACGCGUGAAGUUGACCGCCUGGGGAGUACGGUCGCAAGAUUAAAACUCAAAGGAAUUGACGGGGACCCGCACAAGCGGUGGAUGAUGUGGAUUAAUUCGAUGCAACGCGAAAACCUUACCUACCCUUGACAUGUCCAGAAUCCUGCAGAGAUGCGGGAGUGCCCGAAAGGGAAUUGGAACACAGGUGCUGCAUGGCUGUCGU